rnacentral:tRNA from 1 species
GCGCCCGUAGCUCAGCUGGAUAGAGCGACUGGCUACGAACCAGUAGGUCGGGAGUUCGAAUCUCUCCGGGCGCACCA